rnacentral:rRNA from 1 species
UACGGAGGGUGCGAGCGUUGUUCGGAAUUACUGGGCGUAAAGCGUGCGCAGGCGGUCUGUUAAGACCGAUGUGAAAUCCCCGGGCUUAACCUGGGAACUGCAUUGGUGACUGGCAGGCUUUGAGUGUGGCAGAGGGAGGUAGAAUUCCACGUGUAGCAGUGAAAUGCGUAGAGAUGUGGAGGAAUACCGAUGGCGAAGGCAGCCUCCUGGGCCAACACUGACGCUCAUGCACGAAAGCGUGGGGAGCAAACAGG